AUGGUAAAUAUGCUUCGGCUUAUGUAAACCAAGCGUAUGAAUAUAAAAGUGCUAAUGUUGGUCUCUAUGGGUUGGGUAUACAGUGUCAUUUUAAAGAAUACAUAGCACCAGAUCCAACACUUGUUAAGCAUCGAUUAGAUCAACUAGCUGCUACCAAGCUACCCAUUUGGGUCACAGAGUUAGAUGUUGUUGUAGCUGAUGAGAAUACACGGGCCCAGUGGUAUGACACAGCUCUGCGGAUUUUGUUUAGUAGUCCUUCUGUACAGGGUAUUAUCCUGUGGGAUUUCUACGGACCGGAACACUGGCGUGGUGUAAAUGCUGGAUUGGUUAACGCCAACUAUCAUGUAAAUGCGGCUGGGAACCAUUACAUUGAUCUUAUCAACAAAGAAUGGAGUACACACGUCGUUCACAAUCUUGGCAGUGGUAAAACAUUUAGUGUACGUGGUUUCCAUGGUCAAUACCGUGUUGUAGUUAAGUAUAAAGGAAGAACGAUAAAAACACAGAAUUUCUAUCUAUCAGCAUCCGAUCAUACAGAAAAAAUAACUGUAACGGAUGUUCAUGGACGUUGAGCAGCUCCUAUUGAAUCCUGACCUGAUAAUGUAUAAAGCUACCUUUGAUACAUGCAAUUGUAACAGAUCUAAACGAUUAAAUAAACGAAUAUUUAGUG